AGCAGCCACCCAUCUCUCUUCAAGUACUUUCUCAGCUAAAGGUGAAAUAUUUCUGCUCCAACUCAAGGCAUCCAGGAGUCAGAAAUUUAAGUUUGAGCUGGUCACAGCUGCAGCCAUGCUCCCUUUGCAGCUGACAAGCAGAAAUGGGAACCUCCAGAAGGUUGUCCAGCUUAUCCUCAGGCAGAUAUCUAUGAUGGAUCAGAAGAUUUCCUCUCAGAAAGUGCCUUUUUGUCUCCACUGAAAGAGUUCCUGUGACCACCAUCUCCUUCCAGGAUCUAUUUUCAUGUUCAUGAUGCUUGGCACAGACUAAGGAUGGCAACUUGAAGGAAGUCUGGGGCAGUGCUUAACAGCAGUAGAAGCUGAGGGUAUCACCUGAAACUGAGUCUGAAAAAAACCCAUAAUUGCCUGUAAGUACUUUUCAAAACACCUUUAUUUUAGGUAUUCCUGGUUUUUUCCCAAGCUAAAUUGGAGGUGUUAGGUGGCACUGAACUUUAAAAAGAAAGAAAAUUCAGUCUAGUCAGAUUUGUUCUUGAAGUCUUAGAGGCUUAGUGUGGGUACUAAGAAAUGCACUUUGGUCUGCUGACAAUGUUCUCAAGUGCUAAAGAGGGACCAGCAGGGCUGGAUCCCACUGCAGGAGGCUGGAUCCCACUGCAGGAUGUGCACUAGGGAUACUCAUGUGAGCCCCUGGCCACUUACCAAAUGAUCCUACAGACCUCUGCUGCACCAGCCCUCCUCUCUGACAGGCAGUGUGACACCUGGGGGAGCUGCUUUGGAGACGAUCUGACAAAACCAGCACCAAAUCACAGUGCUCUCCUAUUUCCCACAUGCAGUCACACACAUGGAGGGUUUUGUCCACAGAGGCCAGGAAAAGCAGGCAACUUGCAGCUUGCCACAAGAAACAAGAUACAAGGUUAUGAAGCCCUGGAACAGCUUCUCAGACAUUUCUAUAGGCAGAGUUCCCACAGCACAUAAGAAAAAGAUCCAUUCAUCAGGGUCUGGGCUGCAGGAUGAACUGCAGGAGUUGUUCUGUGCACAUCCUCUGUUAGAAGUUCUGACUUUUCCUUCUGACCUUAAAAUCCAUGGGUGGCUUCUCUUCACAGUGGCAGAGCUGAGGUAGGAAGAGGCUGAGGAGGCGUAUUCCAGUAUUUCAGAGCAAAAAACGUGUUUAAAAAAUGUGGUUUUUAACAUAUAAAUGUCCUUAUUUAAAGUGUUGAUAUUAAAGAUAAAAAUUGUAACAGAAACUCAUUCAAAAAAGUUACAAACCCCCAUUCCCAAUCCUCCUGUUUUCAUCACAAAGAAUAUUCCACAGUAGUAGAGUGUUGUUUUGCAGCCUGUUAGCAGAAGAGGUGAUUGGGUCAGUUGACUUGUAGGUGUCAGAAUCAGAACAGACUAAAUAAAUUCCAUCCACCCAUCUUGCCAAGGAAAUACUCAAGCCCUUUCAUCUCGUUUCAGUAUCCAAAGAAGACACGAGAGUUGCUGGAUACAGAAGUCCUUGUGGAGAGGAGCAGCAGAUUUGGGGUUUCCUAUGAUGAGGCAGUCUCUGAAACACAGGUGUCAAAGCAGGAAGUUCUGACACGAACAGUUCCAAAAGUGUCACAUUCCUGGAAUCAGCUGGCACAAAGGACACUCCUGGACAGUUCUGUGGGGCCUUGAGCAGCCCAAGUUUCUUUGUUCCCUGCGGGUUGAACAGAAUCCAUCCUUCAUUGACAGCGGUGCCUUCCUUGUGCCCACUGUCUGUCUUAUCUGUCACACUGUCACUGGGACUAGGAUUGUCCUUUAGAACUUGCUUACACAGCAGCUGCAAUAGCUACAGCAGGAUGACUCCAUGUGAACACUCAUUCCACAGCCACGGGAUCAGCUCCUGGUUCAUACCAUACCUUAAGUGGAGCAGCCUCAGUGUGUCACUGUGCCUUACAAAGUUAAGCCAGACCUGGGACUCAGUUCAGGGUUUGUAGUCACUUCUCCUUUAUAAAGAAUUCAGCUUUAAGAAAAGCAGUUGAAAUGCUCCUGAGAAUGACAAAUAACAAAUGAGUAAAUCUUGCUCCAGAGCCAUAAAACUCAGUUUAAAAAAAAAAAAAAAAAAAGCAUGCACUCCAAAUCUAUUGGCAUGGGCAUAUAAAGCAGAAUUAAUUGAUAAUCAUAUCAAUUAAUUGAUAAAAAUGCUAAAAGCCAUAAACAAAGCCUUUUCAGAAAAGUAAUGAAUAGGUAAUCCACACAGAUAAUGUGAAAGGACUGCUGCAACUGUGGGGCCAGGGAGGCAUUAAUUUGUGUAUCCAUACCCCUGGAGUUAUUAAAGGAUAAAAGCUUUGAACAUUGCUGCAGAGUUCAAUGAAAAUAAAAACUUUUACUCAGCAUACAGAAGCUCUCAGAAAUGCAAAUAAAGUAUUAGAAUGCAUAAAGAUGGCAAAUAAUUGAAUAUUAUGGUUCUGUUUAACAAAUUGCUUCUUUGCAUGCUAUUACUUCAUCAUGGUCUGAUCUGAAAUAUGAGAGCAGGAAUAAAGCUCAGAGAAAGAAGCGGUGGAUGACCAGAGACCUGCAACGAGUUUGCUGAAAGAAGAGUAAAACAGAUUUGGUUUGGGUAAGGGCUCUUUCUGUGGGCUUGGGGUGCAUCUCUCUACUUGCAUUUAUUUCUGGUGGGAGGGAAAUGUCAGACAGACACAAUAGGGAGGGAAAGUGCUCAGCUUGUUUAAUUUCUCCAUCUCUGUGCUCCAAUUCUCAUGCCCUGAGCAUCGUGAGAAGCACAUGCUCCACACCACAGGUCACAACUCCAUGUCCUUGUAGUCUUGCUCCAACAGAAGCACCGUCCCCAGCCUGACACCUGCUUCAACCUGCCAGCCCUCCUUCCCCCUCAAGCUCUCCUUCCAGGCCUCCCUCUGCCACAGUUGACUAUUGCAAGAACAAUAAGGAUUUUUAGGGGCAUUAUGACUGGGUUAGUAAAACACAGCUGCCCCUGAAAGUCCCUCAUUUUUCUUGCUGCCGUUCUGUCGGUCCCCAGGAGGGCAGGGUCUGGCAGGGUCCGUUCUCUCCAGCGUGGCACACACGCCUCUGCUGAUGUGCCCAGAAGUGCCCCAGCCCCAGCCCACACGGCAGGGGAAGGUGGGCAACUGCUUUGCCAUCCCUGUGGGCUCCUCCUGAGUGAACGCCGUGCUGAGUUUCAGCGGAAUGCCAGAUGGCUCAUCUGUCACUCGCAAGGAUGCCACCGAACAGAGCCUGGCACAGCUCGCUGCAGGCAGCCCUGGAGGUACUCCUUGUUCUGGCACCCAUGUGAGCAGCGGUCUUUGGCCAGGGGAAGUGGGGACCCCAAGGCUGACUGGCCCCACACAUCCCACACUGGGUCAUACCCUGCAACCCCAGGGGCACUUGGAGCUCUCCUGGGGACGUGUAGCACUCGGAUCCCAGCAGGAAAGUUCACAUCCAUCUGCAGCAGCAGUUGCCUUCAAUUUGUUAAAAAAGCUGAGAAUUUUAGGGAAUUACUUCUGAUUUCUUAAUAACUUUCAGCUAAAGUAAUAUCUGAAGAAGAUCUAUCUACAUUUUCAACUGAAAAGGGGCUAAGUAUUUGGCUGGGAAUUUUCAACCCUCAUUCACAAGUCCUCCUGGAAAUCCCAGCCCAUCUCUGCAUGUUCUUAGUGCAAGGAGUAACACUUUCAUUUCAAUUGAUCAGUAUUUUGACGGCAGUGGACUCAGCUGCAACUACAGGCAGAUUCCCACAAUUCUGCUCUAUUGUUGCCCCAUGAAUUCUGCCUGUAGAGAGCUGGGAUGGGCUUGCAAGCAUCUGUGCAAGCUGUUGCCCUUGAGAAGAACUUUGUGUGCUCAAGGAUUUCCAGAAGAGUUUGUGUCAAAGCAGGGAACCCUUCAGCACUCUCAGGGCUUUUCUUCUUUCCCUUGCCCUUGUAGAAAAAGCAUCACAUGGGUGCCUCAGCAAGGGACCCUUUGCCAGCAUCAAGUUUGCAGGUGCUGCCAUUCACACAAUCCAUCUCGCAGCUGGUGUGACCAGGGAUGCUCAGGAAGUCACAAAGGUCCCAGCCCUGUGCAACACAAGAAAAAUAUCCUCACCCAUCCCACAUGGGAUGACACUCCAUGGUAACAGACAACCUGGCAUCCAAAAACCCCAGAGACCCUCUCAGAACUACACAGAACCACACCUUAUUUUCAUUUACAAUUUCUUCUGUAAGUCAACUGAAAGCAAACCCUGUGCCCUGAUUUGGUAAUAAAACAUGAGCCAUGACUGGAUCCAAAUAUUAUUUGCAUCUUUGAGAAAGUUACAACAGCAGUGUAACAAUAAUAAUAAUAAAAAAAGGCAGCAGUCCUCUAAAUGCUAAUGAUGUUGGUGUCCUAAAUGAAGCAUAACAGCCAGAGCCCAUGAGAAGCAGAGCAUGAGUCAGAGCACCAGCAGUUCCACACUGAAAGCAGUACUCCUGGCUGCUUCAUUCAUUUAAGGAAUCAAUUCUUUUGGAAUGAGCAUCAAGUAGUUUUUAGGACUAAAAUGAAAAUGAGAUGCAUGUUGUUAUUAUUUUCAAAAGUUUUUUGUUUUUAUUUUCUUCUCCUUGGAUUGACAAUAAACAAUUCUUUCUAGCUGAGGGGAGCCCCAGGCAGGACCAGGUCUCUGCAGCACUGGCUGCUGUACCACUACAGAAGAAAAUCUGAUGAGCCCCUGCCCCAGGGAGAGCACAACCUCUGCAGCAGCCAGGACCCCACCACGAGCAGGCAGAGCAGACCCAGAGCACAGGAAUGCAGUAACUGGAGUUGUUGCAGCCUGGGCAGGGUGUCUCAUCCCCAGUUUUAUUUUACUGGCAUUGGGUCAUUGGCAGAAUUGAGUGAGGACGGAUAUGUGCUGAAGGGGAACACCCUCCACAGAGGUUUUGCAUGUUCCCUCUUGGAUUGCAAAGCCAAGGCUGUGCACUACAAGAAGAGCCUAAGCUCCCUGCUGCCCCCGUCCCACUUCCAGAUAAAGCACAAUCAGAUUCUGAUGAUCAAAGCACACAUCUCUAGGUUACACUGGUGUUAACUCAAAUUAUUUUUGUUGUGCUGUAUCUGAAACUUAGAAAAUGCAAGAGCAGAACAAAACCAAAGUGAAGGUAGGAAAUUAUUGCAGUUUCUAGAAUUCUUCCAGCUUUAGUCAUGGAAGGGGAUUGUUAGAAACGGACAAAAGGCUGUUUCCCUUAAUUUUUUUAAGUGUGAAUUUUGUCUUGACAGUUUCCUUUCAGAAACAAAAAUUGAAAACAAAUUGUCCCAUACACAAAACAAAGGGACAGAUCCUCAGCUGGAAUGGACUGGUAUUACCAAGUGAGUAACACCCACUCACAGGAGAGAUCUGAGCCUUUUAACCAGCAACUGCCAAUCCUGCUGUGCCCGGACAAGAGCUUGAGAGCUUCAGCCUCCGGGUUUAGAUGGCAGCAGUGCUGGAUCUAUGUAGCUUGGAAACGACCAAGGGCUGCCUUCAGAGCAGCUGAAAGUACACCAAGGCUCUGAAGACUCUGGGACUGUACACUUCCCAAACCUGGAGCUGACUCGAGGUGCAUGAGCCAGUGGACACGACACCAAGUGAGCAGUCCAUAUCAGCAUGGCCCUGAAAUUAAUGAGCUGCUUUGGAGAAAUGCCGGCAAAACUUCCAGAAGCUAUUACAUGGGGGGGUUUGCUUUCUGAAACAAGGGGUGGCUCUGAUUUUUCUCUCAAAACCAAGAUGAGGCUGAUCACCAUCUUGAAAAUUACAGGAGCAGCCCCCAGGAAAGCAUUAACAGUACAGCAAAAAAAAAAAAAAAAAAAAGAAAAA